GAUACUUCAAUGCCUUCGACCUUAUCUGGCUACACCCUUCAAAGUUCCUCUCUUUUCAUUAUUUAUCCAUAAUUUGAGCAGGUGGGAUUGUAAACAACACGUUGCGUCCACAAAUACCAACUUGGUGCGAUCCUGAAUGGAAAUCAUUGAUGGAAAGUUGCUGGGCGGCUGAUCCAGCAGAGAGGCCAUCAUUCUCAGAAAUAUCCCAGAAGUUGAGAAGCAUGGCAGCAGCAAUGAAUCUGAAAUGAUAAUGAAUAUAUUGCAGCAACCAUUUGCUUGUUUUGUACGAUUUUGUUCAUUUUUGAGAGGAACAGUAAGUUGAUAUGAAGCAGGCAAACAUCUGCAACUCUCAUCCUUGCCGCUCCCUAACUCUCAUUAAUCUAGUAAUGCAGUAUUAUUAGCUUGCUUCUCCAUCACCUUUAUUUUGUCAACACAUCUUCAUGAAGUAAAACAGUAUGCUCUGUGGUCUUGCUAUUGCUAGGAUAUACUUCAACAAAGCCUGAGGAGAGACGUAAUUGCAUGAUCAGACUGUUGUCGAACAUAGUGGUGUUAAGAUGGCAAGGCUGUUCUUCCAAUAUGGAAGCCUUUUUUUUAUCUCCGUCUUGAGGUUGAAUUGUCUUGCUACUGUACAUAGUUUUAGUUGCUUUAAAUAGGGAACCACUCCUCUGCUCCAAAGAUUUAGUUCCAAAACUUCGAGCUAUAUUUACACUCCUGUUUUUGACAAUAUAAUUUACCCAAAUUUCCAAUUAGGAAUUGCGUUUGCACCAUCAAUGUGGAAAGUAUACAACGUAAUUGAUCAA